rnacentral:rRNA from 1 species
UGAGGAAUAUUGGUCAAUGGACGAGAGUCUGAACCAGCCAAGUAGCGUGAAGGAUGACUGCCCUAUGGGUUGUAAACUUCUUUUAUACGGGAAUAAAGUGAGCCACGUGUGGCUUUUUGUAUGUACCGUAUGAAUAAGGAUCGGCUAACUCCGUGCCAGCAGCCGCGGUAAUACGGAGGAUCCGAGCGUUAUCCGGAUUUAUUGGGUUUAAAGGGAGCGUAGGCGGGUUGUUAAGUCAGUUGUGAAAGUUUGCGGCUCAACCGUAAAAUUGCAGUUGAUACUGGCGACCUUGAGUGCAACAGAGGUAGGCGGAAUUCGUGGUGUAGCGGUGAAAUGCUUAGAUAUCACGAAGAACUCCGAUUGCGAAGGCAGCUUACUGGAUUGUAACUGACGCUGAUGCUCGAAAGUGUGGGUAUCAAACAGGAUUAGAUACCCUGGUAGUCCACACAGUAAACGAUGAAUACUCGCUGUUGGCGAUAUACAGUCAGCGGCCAAGCGAAAGCAUUAAGUAUUCCACCUGGGGAGUACGCCGGCAACGGUGAAACUCAAAGGAAUUGACGGGGGCCCGCACAAGCGGAGGAACAUGUGGUUUAAUUCGAUGAUACGCGAGGAACCUUACCCGGGCUUAAAUUGCAACUGACGGAAUCGGAAACGGUUCUUUCUUCGGACAGUUGUGAAGGUGCUGCAUGGUUGUCGUCAGCUCGUGCCGUGAGGUGUCGGCUUAAGUGCCAUAACGAGCGCAACCCUUAUCGAUAGUUACUAGCAGGUUAUGCUGAGGACUCUAUCGAGACUGCCGUCGUAAGAUGUGAGGAAGGUGGGGAUGACGUCAAAUCAGCACGGCCCUUACGUCCGGGGCUACACACGUGUUACAAUGGGGGGUACAGAAGGCAGCUACACGGCGACGUGGUGCUAAUCCCGAAAGCCUCUCUCAGUUCGGAUUGGAGUCUGCAACCCGACUCCAUGAAGCUGGAUUCGCUAGUAAUCGCGCAUCAGCCACGGCGCGGUGAAUACGUUCCC